UCAUUUUACUUCUAAUUUUACCUAUUAACAAACUCUAGUUGUUUGCAUUUUGAAUUUCCACAUGGUUUAAACCUAAGAACAACUCACCACGUUCUUUCCCGCUUGCCAUAUUUAUUGCAAGUGGUAAUAAUAUCGGCUGAAGAUUGAUGAACCCAAGGUGUUCGAUGAUAUGCCUUGAAGAACUAAAUCAUUCGCUGAUGAUUUGUGCAGCUCAGUUAGCUUUAGAUCAAGAUUGGGAUGGUGUAAUUAUCACUGAGGCAAAUUAUCAAGCACUUGAGGCGCUUAAACAUUAGUUGAUCCUAGAGGGUAUUUAAGUAGCUGGAAUGAUAAUGGUUAUGGAUCUUGUUCUGGUACUUGGGUCGGAAUAAAAUGUGCUCAAGGACAAGUUAAGUUAUUCAGCUUCCUUCAAAAGGAUUUGGGGGGAAAAUCACUGAAAGUAUUUGUCAAUUUCAAGCACUCAGAAAACUUAGUCUCCAUGAUAAUGAAAUUGGUGGUUCAGUCCUUUCAUAUUUGGGUUUUUUACCCAAUCUAAGAGGUGUUCCGUUGUACAAUAACAGAUUUUUUGGUUCUAUUCCUGGUUCACUUGGUUUAUGUCCAGUUCUUCAAACACUUGAACUUAGUAAUAAUUCUUUAUCUGGUGCAAUCCUUGAUAGUCUUGUGAAUUAA